rnacentral:rRNA from 1 species
CGCGUAGGCGGUUAAUUAAGUCAGGUGUGAAAACUGUGGGCUCAACCCAGAGACUGCAUCUGAUACUGGAUAACUUGAGUGCAGGAGAGGGCAGUGGAAUUCCUAGUGUAGCGGUGAAAUGCGUAGAUAUUAGGAGGAACACCAGUGGCGAAGGCGGCUGCCUGGACUGUAACUGACGCUGAGGCACGAAAGCGUGGGGAGCGAACA